rnacentral:rRNA from 1 species
GAUGAACGCUGGCGGCGUGCCUAAUACAUGCAAGUCGAGCGAACAGACGAGGAGCUUGUUCCUCUGACGUUAGCGGCGGACGGGUGAGUAACACGUGGAUAACCUACCUAUCAGUCUGGUAUAUUUUCGGGACACCGGCGCUAAUCCCGUAUAAUCUAUUGAUCCGCAGGGUUCAAUAGUGAAAGACGGUUUUGCUGUCACUAAUAGAUGCAUCCGCGCCGGAUGAGCUAGUUGGUAAGGUAACGGCUUUCCACGGCGACUAUGCGUAGGCGACGUGAGUGGGUGAUCGGCCACCUUGGAACUGAGACACGCUCCAUGCUCCUGCGGGACGCAGCAGUAGGGAAUGUGCCGCAGUGGGCGAAAGCCUGGCGGAGCAACCGCGCGUGAGUGAUGAAGGUCUUCCGAUCGUAAUGCUCUGUUAUUAGGGAAGAACAAAUGUGUAAGUAGCUAUGCACGUCUUGACGGUACCGAAUCAGAAAGCAACGGCUAACUACGUG